AUUGAACGCUGGCGGCAGGCCUAACACAUGCAAGUCGAGCGGAUGAAGGGAGCUUGCUCCUGGAUUCAGCGGCGGACGGGUGAGUAAUGCGUAGGAAUCUGCCUGGUAGUGGGGGAUAACGUCCGGAAACGGGCGCUAAUACCGCAUACGUCCUGAGGGAGAAAGUGGGGGAUCUUCGGACCUCACGCUAUCAGAUGAGCCUAGGUCGGAUUAGCUAGUUGGUGGGGUAAAGGCCUACCAAGGCGACGAUCCGUAACUGGUCUGAGAGGAUGAUCAGUCACACUGGAACUGAGACACGGUCCAGACUCCUACGGGAGGCAGCAGUGGGGAAUAUUGGACAAUGGGCGAAAGCCUGAUCCAGCCAUGCCGCGUGUGUGAAGAAGGUCUUCGGAUUGUAAAGCACUUUAAGUUGGGAGGAAGGGCAGUAAGUUAAUACCUUGCUGUUUUGACGUUACCAACAGAAUAAGCACCGGCUAACUUCGUG
rnacentral:rRNA from 1 species